rnacentral:lncRNA from 1 species
GGCUGUACCUGUGGUAUAUGGAGGCUAGGAGUCGAAUCAGAGCUGCAGUGCUGACCACAUCCACAGCAACUUAGAUCUAAGCCUCGUCUGUGACCUACACCCACAGCUCACUGGAUCCCCAACCCACUGAGCAAGGCCAGGGAUCGAACCCACAUCCUCAGGGAUACUGGCUGGAUUCAUUACCUCUGAGCCACAACAGGAACUCCAAGAUUGCUUUAUACAAUAGUGACUACGCAAAAAAAACAUGUAGCAAGAACUUGGAGGGUGUCAGGUAUGCAGGAUGCUAUUUCUUAAUGAAAAUGUCUGUGGAUAUAUUUCAGUAGGGUGUUCUAAAUAUAUUUUUAAAACAUGGUGAGGCACAUUGAACAGGGUAGCUAGGGGCUAUUUUACAGCUUUUUAAAAGAAAUCCUGACAGAUCAAAGCUUUUGUCUGUAGAUAAUAAUGAACCUUUAUCUGAGAGUAUCACAUAUGCAUCAUUCUAUGUGCCAAAUGCCACAGCCUCAGGAAACCAGCUGCCCGCAGCCUUGUAAAUCAAAGUUUAUUCGCUUCCUCAUUUUCUGUCAUGAACUCCCUAGUCAUACGCUGUCACAGCAAUUCACUUCACAUUUUAAAAAUAAAGGUUUGUUUCAUGGAGCCUUGAUGAGUCCCAUCUGAAAACCAUUAAAAACAUCCACACCCACUUCCACACAAACCAGAAAAUCCGUAGAAUUCAGACUCAUUAAGUCUGGAAGCUGGAAAUGAUCCUAGCAACAAAUAAUUUACACUUCCCAUUAUGGACAGAAAGAAAGUAGAGAGGUCUGGUGAUCUGGCCACUGUCAUUCGAAGCAGUCAACUGGGCACUGCUGGGACCAGAACCCUGGUUUCCUAUUCCCUCUGGGUUCUCCCUGCUUCACCACGCCUCGGGUCUGGCUCUGAAGUUAGUGAAUCCCCCUUGAUACUCUCCAAGCCUGUCAGUGAGUCAUGUUUCCGUUUCCACACGCUGUUCCAAGUGGCCUUUAGGAGCACAGAGUUCAUUCAUUCACCGUAACUCGUACAGAGAGGACCGGCACACUCAGCAGUUUUGACUCACACGCCACCUUCAAAUCGGUGAAGCCAAUGGCCAACUAAAUCUAAAAAGAAAAAGAAAUCUAACUCUUGGCACUUAAAAUACUUCCUUUCAACCUACUGUAAAACAACAGCCUAUUUAGGAGAUGAAAAGUGAGUCACUGCUUUCAUCCAGCAGACAGGCUCCCCAGGCACAAACUCAUGCACAUUAUAACAUUAUACUUCAUGGGGCCUUUUAAAUAUUUACUUGUUAGCAGUAUUCUUCCUUUCAGGUCAAAGAUUAUAGUACUUAGCAACACAAAGAAAGCAGAGGGAUAUAGUUAUGAAUUAGUAAACUGCUUUGCCAAGCCUUCCAUUUGUUAAUUCAGUCCAACUUCAAAGAGGAGUUUAAAAAGAGGUUCAGCUGUCAGAAAUUAACCCUCAGAAAAUUACUGAAUCAAAAAGUGACUUGGCCAGUCUUUCCCAAACUGCUGUUAAGGAAAGAAAUGCUCAGUUGUAGGUACAGAAGCAUAAAGCCUCUUCCUAUGCAAGUAAUUUAUUUGAUCAUUUUUAUUAUCUGAAGGGGGGCAGUAGGGAUUAAAAUUUGAGAAAACACCCUGCCCUGGUUCUUCCUUUCCAGCAACAGAGUGGAGAAAGGGCUUUUCUAAUAGCACCAUAUAUUCUUCUUCUUCAGUGGCAUAGACUCUGAUUCACAGCUAUUUCAGGAGAAGGUCAAAGUCUGUCAAGUCAGAGGGGAAUGGGGAGGAGGAGCCCAUACAGAGCUAAAUCCCUGAGAGCUUAAUUUCUCCUGGCCCCCAGCGUGGCCAGUUCCUUUGGGCUUCCAAAAUCGAAACGGCCCUCUGGCUCUCAGUGAAAACAGCCUCGUUACCUGUUCCUGCGGCCUGACUCCAAGUGGCCGUGCACUUUCCCUGAACUCUUUGAUGUGCCUGCUCAAGUCUGUUUCAAUGGGCUUUCACCAUGGCUGUACAUCAGAAUCACCUAGGGAGCUUUUAACUCUACAGAUGUACGGGCUCAAUGCCAGGUCUACAGAAUCCAACAUGAUUCCCAAAGAGCAGCAGCCGGAGCCGAAAACCACUGUUCUGCUUCCUACAAAGUUGAAGUCGAUAGGCAAAGGACUGAUGGUGCAUGGACCGAACACUGAGCACACUGACAUUAAUAAGUGAAGGGCUUCAUAGCAAGAUUUUCAUCAGUCCCCAAGUUUACAAAUCGACGGCAUUCACAGGUGGCCUUUUUUCUUUUCUGGGCUAUUUUCACAAAGAAAUAAACAGGUGUUACUUUGAGAGGAGUAGGUGCUUAAAACAAAGCCAUCCAGGAGCAGAAGGCUGUGGCUGGUUCACAUGAGUGAAGUCCCUGCUCCCCACACAGCCCACCCAAGACACGACCCUAACUGGGGACUCAUUUCAUCACAUGUCUUGAACCUUUGGAGACCACCUGAGAAAGUCAGUACCAGGAGUGUUCGCUACGCUAAAGCCAAGACUACUGUGUGCUACACAGCACAGCAAAUCCACCUCUAGAGGGAGCUUCAUAAGUGGCUCCAUCACUGACAUGAGACAGAAAGUGACU